rnacentral:lncRNA from 1 species
AUGGUCACAGAGAUCUAUGGCAUUUGUUUCAACACCAGUAUUGGGAUGCCAUUCAUGCCUCUCCAAUGUCAACCUAUUUCUCCCUCUACAGAUACUUUAAAUGAUUCUGCUCAGCAAGAGCCAUCAAGACUGGAGACAAGGGUUAUGAUAUGCCGAGGAGCUCCCACUCAACAAAACAUGACCAGGAAUUCUUGGCAAGAGGAUAACAGUGACAAUGUAAGUUAAUCCUUGUACCAGUACAACUUGGAGCAGCAUUUAUCUAUAUCUACCUGUAUUUCAUCAUUCCCUGCAUUGUCUCAAAGGGAUUCCCUGCUAAACCCACACAGUUAAAGUAAUUUGGCCUCCGAUUUUAUUUAUAUUUCUCUUCAGCAUCCAUUGUACUUUUACAUUUCUUUUUCUGAAUAAAUGUAUACGUUUUAGCACACAUUCCUGUCUCAUACAAGGAACACACUUUAUCAAGUUAAACUCAAGACAGCUACCAAAUAUUAAAGGCAGAGGCAACAGCCAGAACAGCUCUCUAUGAAGUUUGGGGUUUUGUUACCCUAGUUUUGGGGCUGUUAAGUCCUAUCAUAAACUCCAACACUUAGUAUCUCUCUUGCAUCAAGUAAAAUACACAGGCAACCACAAAGAUUUCCGUAAUUUUUCUCUGCCUUUCCUCUUCUUGCUAACUUAAGAAUCCCAGUUCCUGAGUGAUCCCAGUCCCACGAGUGGCUUGCACAACCAUGACGCAGCACUCAAUGUCAACAGCAGGAUCACCCUAAAAAAGCUGCUUUCUAGCUUUUGAGCUUUCCUAUCCCAUUCACAGCUGAACAAAAGCUUAACAUUUCUUUUCAUCACUGAGGCUGUAGAGCCUGAGUGCAGGGAGGGAUUUGGUCAGCUCAUGAACUGCACAAGAUCUUAACCUAAUGAUUCAUAGCUUGGUCAUUCUCUCUGUAAAUAACUUAACUCUGUCUCAUUCUCCUCAGCCACCUUUACAUGAAACCUUUCCAUCCUGUUGGCAGCAGUUCAUCUUUUUUUCAACUCUUCUGCCCUCACAACACAAGAAGUCCUUUCUGAGGACUCUCUCAUAGUCCCAGGCACCAAUCCCAGCUAUUAGGAAAACUACAUGUGAUCAGGGAAUUGAGGCAACCCAAAGGCUGUUACUUGCCCCAGGUCAGAUGAUGCACUGGAAGCUGAGCCAGGAGGGUAAACCCAAGGCUUGUUAGGGUAAGACGAUGUCUGAUCUAACCCAUCCAGUUCUCAGACAUUUUUCAGUUGCUGCUGAGACUGUAGAAGAGUAUCCAGGAGCUACAGUUUUUGCCACACAGGUGUAGACACUGCUGAUGUUCCCAAGGUCACACCUCCUGCUAGUUCUGAACAAAGUCACUGGAUUUUGUCAUCACAUGCCAUUUACCUCGAAGGUGAGGUUUGCGGUGCAGCAGCCCCAUCUCUGCUGGCUCACACAGAGAGACCAGGUUGAUGCUGUGGCUUCUGCUUUCCAGGUGCUUCCUAGAGAUUUGGCCUAACAGCCAAGGAACUGCAUCUUACUGAGCCUUGCUUAGAAACACACACAAUUUCAUAGUUGAAUUGGCACGUGGAGAGGAAACUGUCUUAGCAACUACCUCAGGCAUUCAGAGCACCCUCCCAGAGGAGACAAACACAGCAUGAAACCUCUGAGCCUUUCACACAAAGUGUAAGCCCAUUUCCCUGAUCUACGUUUUUUGUUUAAAGAGCCUGCAAGGGAAAAGACAGACAGCUAUGUAAGUAGCUCUCUUUUACCAAGUCUAUCACCAGCCUAUCUGGGGCGGUUGCAAUGUACUGAUCAAACAUUCAAAUUAGAGAGGGUUCCAAAAUGAUCACCUAGUGCAAAGGGGAGCUAAAAGGAAAUUGCAAAAAUGCUGCCAUUCUGGAGACAUUUUACAGAUAGUACAGCUGAGGCACGAAGUCCCCCUCAGUCACAUUAAGCUUUGCUCCUGGCACUCUUCAUCUCGAGCUACUGGGGCUGCUCUGCAUUCAGUGAGUCAGUAAUCCCAGUGGGGGUUAAAUCCACCACGCAGACCAGUAUUUCCACAGCCAGGCCAGGGAACAGUGUUUAGUAACU